UCGAGAAUUUUUCUCAAUGGGGGAAACCCUGAAGGAGCGACGCCGCGUGAAGGAUGAAGGUCUUCGGAUUGUAAACUUCUGUCAUUAGGGAACAAGUGCUGGCAAGUAACUACUGCCAGCUUGAUAGUACCUGAAGAGGAAGGGACGGCUAACUCUGUGCCAGCAGCCGCGGUAAUACAGAGGUCCCAAGCGUUGUUCGGAUUCAUUGGGCGUAAAGGGUGCGUAGGUGGUGCCGUAAGUUGGAUGUGAAAUCCCGGAGCUCAACUCCGGAACUGCAUUCAAUACUGCGGUGCUAGAGUACUGGAGAGGAGAUUGGAAUUCACGGUGUAGCAGUGAAAUGCGUAGAUAUCGUGAGGAAGACCAGUGGCGAAGGCGGAUCUCUGGACAGUUACUGACACUGAGGCACGAAGGCCAGGGGAGCAAACGGGAUUAGAUACCCCCGUAGUCC
rnacentral:rRNA from 1 species